UCAUCUCCGGGGGUAGAGCACUGUUUCGGCUAGGGGGCCAUCCCGGCUUACCAACCCGAUGCAAACUGCGAAUACCGGAGAAUGUUAUCACGGGAGACACACGGCGGGUGCUAACGUCCGUCGUGAAGAGGGAAACAACCCAGACCGCCAGCUAAGGUCCCAAAGUCAUGGUUAAGUGGGAAACGAUGUGGGAAGGCCCAGACAGCCAGGAUGUUGGCUUAGAAGCAGCCAUCAUUUAAAGAAAGCGUAAUAGCUCACUGGUCGAGUCGGCCUGCGCGGAAGAUGUAACGGGGCUAAACCAUGCACCGAAGCUGCGGCAGCGACACUGUGUGUUGUUGGGUAGGGGAGCGUUCUGUAAGCCUGUGAAGGUGGCCUGUGAGGGUUGCUGGAGGUAUCAGAAGUGCGAAUGCUGACAUAAGUAACGAUAAAGCGGGUGAAAAGCCCGCUCGCCGGAAGACCAAGGGUUCCUGUCCAACGUUAAUCGGGGCAGGGUGAGUCGACCCCUAAGGCGAGGCCGAAAGGCGUAGUCGAUGGGAAACAGGUUAAUAUUCCUGUACUUGGUGUUACUGCGAAGGGGGGACGGAGAAGGCUAUGUUGGCCGGGCGACGGUUGUCCCGGUUUAAGCGUGUAGGCUGGUUUUCCAGGCAAAUCCGGAAAAUCAAGGCUGAGGCGUGACGACGAGGCACUACGGUGCUGAAGCAACAAAUGCCCUGCUUCCAGGAAAAGCCUCUAAGCAUCAGGUAACAUCAAAUCGUACCCCAAACCGACACAGGUGGUCAGGUAGAGAAUACCAAGGCGCUUGAGAGAACUCGGGUGAAGGAACUAGGCAAAAUGGUGCCGUAACUUCGGGAGAAGGCACGCUGACACGUAGGUGAAGUGAUUUACUCAUGGAGCUGAAGUCAGUCGAAGAUACCAGCUGGCUGCAACUGUUUAUUAAAAACACAGCACUGUGCAAACACGAAAGUGGACGUAUACGGUGUGACGCCUGCCCGGUGCCGGAAGGUUAAUUGAUGGGGUCAGCGCAAGCGAAGCUCCUGAUCGAAGCCCCGGUAAACGGCGGCCGUAACUAUAACGGUCCUAAGGUAGCGAAAUUCCUUGUCGGGUAAGUUCCGACCUGCACGAAUGGCGUAAUGAUGGCCAGGCUGUCUCCACCCGAGACUCAGUGAAAUUGAACUCGCUGUGAAGAUGCAGUGUACCCGCGGCAAGACGGAAAGACCCCGUGAACCUUUACUAUAGCUUGACACUGAACAUUGAGCCUUGAUGUGUAGGAUAGGUGGGAGGCUUUGAAGUGUGGACGCCAGUCUGCAUGGAGCCGACCUUGAAAUACCACCCUUUAAUGUUUGAUGUUCUAACGUGGACCCGUAAUCCGGGUUGCGGACAGUGUCUGGUGGGUAGUUUGACUGGGGCGGUCUCCUCCUAAAGAGUAACGGAGGAGCACGAAGGUUGGCUAAUCCUGGUCGGACAUCAGGAGGUUAGUGCAAUGGCAUAAGCCAGCUUGACUGCGAGCGUGACGGCGCGAGCAGGUGCGAAAGCAGGUCAUAGUGAUCCGGUGGUUCUGAAUGGAAGGGCCAUCGCUCAACGGAUAAAAGGUACUCCGGGGAUAACAGGCUGAUACCGCCCAAGAGUUCAUAUCGACGGCGGUGUUUGGCACCUCGAUGUCGGCUCAUCACAUCCUGGGGCUGAAGUAGGUCCCAAGGGUAUGGCUGUUCGCCAUUUAAAGUGGUACGCGAGCUGGGUUUAGAACGUCGUGAGACAGUUCGGUCCCUAUCUGCCGUGGGCGCUGGAGAACUGAGGGGGGCUGCUCCUAGUACGAGAGGACCGGAGUGGACGCAUCACUGGUGUUCGGGUUGUCAUGCCAAUGGCACUGCCCGGUAGCUAAAUGCGGAAGAGAUAAGUGCUGAAAGCAUCUAAGCACGAAACUUGCCCCGAGAUGAGUUCUCCCUGAGACUUAGAGUCUCCUGAAGGAACGUUGAAGACGACGACGUUGAUAGGCCGGGUGUGUAAGCGCAGCGAUGCGUUGAGCUAACCGGUACUAAUGAACCGUGAGGCUUAACCUU
rnacentral:rRNA from 1 species